ACUUGCCCGAUUAAAAAACAACAAAAUGACAUGUGAAUGUAGGAAUUUAGCAUCAGUUUAUUCAAAAAAUAUACAUAUUAGAUAAUUAGAAAUCAUAAAAAAUGAUGUAAAUAACUAGUUAUAAUUAGGCCAAAAAAAUAUCUCCUGCAUUUUGCUUAAAAUUGCAAUUAUCUCCUUAUUUUGAAUUAUUUGCAAUAUCAACAUUGCAUUUUGCAUAUUACUCAAAUAGAUCC
rnacentral:lncRNA from 1 species